UACGUAGGGCGCGAGCGUUGUCCGGAAUUACUGGGCGUAAAGAGCUCGUAGGAGGUUUGUCGCGUUGUUCGUGAAAACUCACAGCUUAACUGUGGGCGUGCGGGCGAUACGGGCAGACUGGAGUACUGCAGGGGAGACUGGGAUUCCUGGUGUAGCGGUGGAAUGCGCAGAUAUCAGGAGGAACACCGGUGGCGAAGGCGGGUCUCUGGGCAGUAACUGACGCUGAGGAGCGAAAGCGUGGGGAGCGAACAGG
rnacentral:rRNA from 1 species